rnacentral:misc_RNA from 1 species
UCCUAGCCCUGAUGGUCGAAUUAUUUAACAAUUACCUCGUAGCGUAGCGAAGAGAUACAGCGGACAGCAGGUCUUUUU